rnacentral:piRNA from 1 species
UGUCCUGACAGUGCUAGGGAAAUGGCCCAU